ACAGCAGCAGCCGCGGGAAUACGAAGGGUGCAAGCGUUAAUCGGAGUUACUGGGCGUAAAGCGUGCGUAGGCGGUUUGUUAAGUCUGUUGUGAAAUCCCCGGGCUCAACCUGGGAAUGGCAAUGGAUACUGGCAAGCUAGAGUGUGUCAGAGGAUGGUGGAAUUCCCGGUGUAGCGGUGAAAUGCGUAGAGAUCGGGAGGAACAUCAGUGGCGAAGGCGGCCAUCUGGGACAACACUGACGCUGAGGCACGAAAGCGUGGGGAGCAAACAGGAUUAGAUACCCCAGUAGUCCCUGUCUCUUAUAC
rnacentral:rRNA from 1 species